UACGAAGGGGGCUAGCGUUGUUCGGAAUCACUUGGCGUAAAGCGCACGCAGGCGGAUCGAUAAGUCGGGGGUCAAAGCCCGGGGCUCAACCUCGGAAUUGUCUUCGAUACUGUCGGUCUCGAGUCCGGGAGAGGUGAGUGGAAUUCCUAGUGUAGAGGUGAAAUUCGUAGAUAUUAGGAAGAACACCAGUGGCGAAGGCGGCUCACUGGCCCGGUAUUGACGUUCAGGUGCGAAAGCGUGGGGAGCAAACAGG
rnacentral:rRNA from 1 species